AUUUAUAUUGCGUUGGAGGUCAAACUGUUUCUUAAACUAUUUGAAAUUAUUUGUCCAGAUUAGCUGUCCAUCCUGAAGAUGGAGAGCUUUGAGGGUGAUUCCCAAGAGCCCUGAAGCCAACUAUAAUGAAUGGGUUUGGUGCUUUACUUGAAGAAAAAAAAAGCUGAAUGAGUUAUGGAGCUGCUAAAUAGCCCCAGUUCAUUCACACAGAGUUGAGGAUGAUGUGCUUAUCUUAAUAUAGUAUUGUUAGAAGAGCUUAUUUCAAGGGCAUUCCUGUCUGACAUCUUCCCUCCCUCAUUACUUCUCAGUCUCUUUAGUUAUAUGUGGAGGUUUAGAAGACACUGGUAUCUGACAGAAACCCUGGGGAGCAUGCAGGAUUCAUCUCCCAUUUCUGCUGAAGCUGGUGACCAAACUUGCAGUGGAUGAAAUGGAAGCAAGCUCAGGUGGUCAUCCUGUGAAAUCCUCUGGUCUAAUACAUCUGGGAAGGCUGUAAACACACAGGAGAAAGUCUGAGGAGUCUGCUAACUGUUCAAGUAAUUAUUUAUCACCGAUGGUGUCUUCAGCACCAAUCCCAGCACAGCCAUUAUGGAGCGUCCAGGAACAAAGGAAUUGCACAGAUUUUCUUUAGAAGAUGAAGAGAUUCUGGGAAAAUUAAUUGCCUGCUUCUGCAUUUGUUCAGUCUUCUCUUAUGGCUGGACUCUGUGAUGGCUGGAGAGAUACUGAAAGGAUGAUGUCAGACGAAUGGGAAAUGAAAGCUGAAGGUGCAGAUGUGCUAGUGCAUAGAAGGGCCAGAACAAACACCAUUUGCAAUUCAAGUGCCUUUAGACCCUAGAUGAGACUGUCUUGUAACUGCUUCCACGGUGUUAUGUAGCUUGGUUAAAGGUA
rnacentral:lncRNA from 1 species